GACGAACGCUGGCGGCGUGCCUAAUACAUGCAAGUCGAACGCAGUGGGGACGGGCGAGUAACACGUGGGUAACCUCCCUUCAGAGGGGCUAACACUUUGAAACACGUGCUAAACCGAUACUGAUGGAUGUACCCGCGGUGUAUUAGCUAGUUGGGGAGGUAACGGCUAACCAGGGCCCCGAUGCAUAGCGGGCCUGAGAGGGUGGUGAGCCACACGGGGACUGGGAUAAGGGGCAGACUCCUACGGGAGGAAGAAGUAGGGAAUCUUCGGCAAUGGACGAAAGUGUGACCGAGCAAAGCCGCGUGAGUGAAGAAGGUUUUCGGAUCGUAAAUGAUUGUUGUUAGGGAAGCGGUAGAUAACCAGAAAGCCACGGAUAACUACGUGCCAGCAGACGCGGUAAUAC
rnacentral:rRNA from 1 species